UGCGUAGGCGGCUUUUUAAGUCGGAUGUGAAAUCCCUGAGCUUAACUUAGGAAUUGCAUUCGAUACUGGGAAGCUAGAGUAUGGGAGAGGAUGGUAGAAUUCCAGGUGUAGCGGUGAAAUGCGUAGAGAUCUGGAGGAAUACCGAUGGCGAAGGCAGCCAUCUGGCCUAAUACUGACGCUGAGGUACGAAAGCGAUGGGGAGCAAACA
rnacentral:rRNA from 1 species